rnacentral:rRNA from 1 species
GAUCAUGGCUCAGGACGAACGCUGGCGGCGUGCUUAACACAUGCAAGUCGAACGAGAAUCUGUGGAAAGAGGAUUCGUCCAAUUGAAGCAGAGGACAGUGGCGGACGGGUGAGUAACGCGUGAGGAACCUGCCUUUCAGAGGGGGACAACAGUUGGAAACGACUGCUAAUACCGCAUGACACAUAGGUGUCGCACGGCACUUAUGUCAAAGAUUUAUCG